GGGCUUAUUAUAGUCCUGCAACAGACACAGAUACCUGAUAUUUUUCUUUUUUUUGUUAGAGCAUUUGAUUUAUUGAUUGCUGUCAGGAUGUAAUGAGAAUUUCAACAAAUAUAACAAAAAAUAUAUUAAGAACAGCAC